ensembl:lncRNA
GUUGAAAGGAGAAGUUUUCAUGAUAGUCGCUUGGAGUGGUGAGAUUGCUCAUUUGCCUCCAAAGAGCUUCCGUGGAGAGUCCUGCAGACAGUGUGCACACAGAGGAAUUGGCCAGUAAACAGCUUCACAAGAACAUAACUGCAGUUUAAGUAAAGGCCUGAAUUUUGGAGCUCGUUUUCCCAGCACAGCACUGGUGGUUGAGGCCAAGCGCCAAGUACUUAUUUUUUCUUUUCUGAAUGGAAUUGAAAGCUGAAAUUUUGUAACAUACUUUGUGAGGCUACCUGGCUGAUCAGCACCUUAGAGAACACCAACAACAAACCAGCCAGGAGAAGUAACAGAUUAAACAGAAACCCCAACAAACUUCAGUCAGUGGUGACAGUAAGAG